rnacentral:rRNA from 1 species
UACGUAGGGUGCGAGCGUUAAUCGGAAUUACUGGGCGUAAAGUGUGCGCAGGCGGCAGAGCAAGUCGAGUGUGAAAUCCCCGAGCUUAACUUGGGAAUUGCGCUCGAAACUACGUGGCUGGAGUGUGGCAGAGGAAGGUGGAAUUCCACGUGUAGCGGUGAAAUGCGUAGAUAUGUGGAGGAACACCGAUGGCGAAGGCAGCCUUCUGGGCCAACACUGACGCUCAUGCACGAAAGCGUGGGGAGCAAACAGG